AUAUAACUUCAGCGUGAUAUUUCAACAAAAAUGAUGGGGGAAAGAAAUCCCUAAAAGCCUAAAGAAAAAGGGGGAAAGGUGAGGCCGAUGCCGAUGGAAUUCGUGACAGACCCAGACGACCAAGGUUCAGCCAUGGAAGUCGACAAUGUUGACACACCGGAGAUCUUCGACGAAGGUGUCAUCGCUUCCGACAACCAGCUCGCCAAUGCCGAUUUCUUCAACUAAAAAAACAAAGAAGAAUCAUUUCAAUUGGGAGAUUGUUCUCAUAACACUAGCUACUGGUCCAUUCAUGGUUGCUGCUGGAGGCAUAUCUAAUAUAUUUCUUCAUAGGCUUGCUAAGAACAUCCAAGAUGCUUAUGCUGAGGCAGCUAGCAUUGCUGAACAGUCGCAUUAUUUAACACCAAAACCCAUAUUUUACGGGUUUUUCAAAGAAGAAAAAUGCUGAGAAUAGAUGGUCUCUGCAAGAAGAUGGGCUACAAGGAUGCCAAGUUACUGAUGCUUUACAGGCUCUGAUAGCCAAUGGCGUUGAAGAGGAGACUAUCCAGUGUGGGCGUCCAAAGGAAUAGAAGUUCUGGAUCUCGUUUGCGUAUCGUGAUUCUUGUUUUCUUCUCAAUUCUGACGCUCAUUGCUUUGAGUUCAUUACAAUUCUACUGCUUUCAGUUUCACGCUCAUUGCUUUGAGUUCAUUACAAGAUUUCCUUGAUUAAAUAAAUAUAUUAUAUAUUUUAUUACCAAGAUUUACUUGAUUAAGAAAAUGCAUUGUAUGUUUUAUUACCUUGCAUAUGUAUUAUUUAUUUUGGUUUUGAUUCUAAAUUUUUAUUUUUACUUAAGAGUUCUAAAUUUUGGAUUUUAAUUGUAUUAUUAAUUUAUUAUUUUAAAUUCUAAAUUUAAAUUCAUUAAUUUUUAUAUUUAGUUUUAAAGUUAAAAUUUUCGUACAAAAUUUAAUUUAAAUAAUAUUUUUUAUUUAUCCUUAAAACAUAAUAUAAUAUUUAUCAUAGAAAUAAAUAAUAUUGAAAAAAAUUAUUUUUUAAAGAUAUGUUUUUAGCAGCGUUUGUGUGAAAAGCGCUGCUAAAGGUCUGUUCUAUAGCGGCGUUUGUACGGAAAAGCGCCGCUAAAGGUCUUGAUCUAUAGUAGCGUUUGUGGGAAAAGCGUCGCUAAAUGUCUUGAUCUAUAGCGACGUUUGUGAAAAAAGCGCCACUAAAGAUCUUGAGCUAUACCGGCAUUUGUGGAAAAGCGCCGCUAAAGGUCCUGAUCUAUAGUGGCGUUUCUGGAAAAGGCACCACUAAAGGUCCUGAUCUAUAGCGGCGUUUGUGGGAAAAGCGCCGCUAAAGGUGAUGAUCUAUAGCGGCGUUUAUUUAUAUAAACGCCACAAAUGUUUGCGAAGUUUACAACAGCAGCAUUUUUUUUGGCGCAUUCAAAAGCACCACAAGUACUUUUAAAAAAACGUCGCUAAAAACCUGUUUUGGUGUAGUGAUCAAGAGUGAGCCUGUUUAUUUGAUGGUUAAACUUCUGUGUAUCUUCUGGUUAUGUGUUCAAGUCCCUAUACGUGUAAUAGUAAAUAUUUUUAUACUUUUAGUGUAAUUUUAGUUCCUUAUUUAAAUUAACAAUUUUGUGGGCGUCCCUCUUCCACUUUCCUUUCUUUUCUUCUUUUUUGUUGUUGUUUUUUUUUUCAUUUUAUCUUAUUUGUUUUUCCUUUCCUUUUGUUUAUACCCGUGAAGUGGCUAUCGAGACUAAUUGAGGGUCGUACGUUGUUCGCUGUGUAAUUUGGGAGGUUACCGUGUAAGUUCUGCCGAAAAUUCCUUUUUGCUUUCGUGAAUUCUUACUGUUUUUCUUGUUUUGUCGAAAUUGUCUUAAAUUACUCAAAAGCUUUAGUAAGCAUACAUUGGUUUCGUGUUUAGGCGAGGAUUUUACGAGAACCAUUUCACUAACAUACUAAUUCCACUGUUUUCACUCUACGAGCAAGGUGAGCGUAGGUAUUUAAGGGAGGAUUGUAUUGAAGAUUUAGACAUGAAAGUUAGUUUUGUGCAUUAUUACUUGUGUGCAUAGAUGAUAAUUGUUAAAUUUGUUAUUGGGUGGUCGUUUUAGGUUUUGGGGUUAUUCAGCAUUGUUCCUACAUGAAAUCGACACCAGGUGUGUACCAAAAACUCAAAUUUCUCUUAAUUUUAAAUAUUGGAAAACAUGGUUGUCAACGCCACAUGACCGUGCACCAGUCCAUGUGGUAGGCCGUGUAAACCACGCGGCUUGGAGUCAUGUGAGUCACUGUUCAUGAAUUAGAGACACACGGGCUAAGGACAAUAGCGUAUGUCCAGACCGUGUAUGAGAAUGUUUUGUGCAAGGUUCACACGAGCCAAGGACAUGGGCGUGUGUCAAGGCCAUGUAAGUCACUGUCUGUGUGUUAAAGCUACAUAGGCAAAUGACACGGGCGUGUUUCAGGCCGUGUGAGGCACACGAGCAUGUGUCAGGCUGUGUGAAACCACAUAGGUGUGUGGACCAAUAUUUGGAUUUUUCCCUCGAGCCACAAGUGUCAUUUGAAAUGAAUGCAGGCCUUGUAUGAGGUUCGUAUGAACUGAAUUAAACUGUUAUUUUGUGGUCUGAGAUUGAGGGUUGAAAAUUUGAAUGUGUAUUGUGUGUGAAAAUCGUUAAUGAUAUUAAUUUAUUUUGUACAAUAUGAACUGUAUUUGAAUGGUCAUAUAGGCCUCUGUAUUAAUUGUCAUUUGAAAUCUACAUCAGCAUUGAGUGGGAAUUGAGUAAAGGUGAAAGUAUUUUGUUAUGAGCAAGUGGUUAAACCACUAAUAUCUGUAAUCUGAUCUGGCAGCUGGUCUGUGAUAAUUGAAAUGUGUCAUACCGACACUAUGUGGUGUGUAGGGCUGGAUGGGUAUUAAAUACCUUGUUUGGUGUGUUGGGUUGGUAGGAGAUGGUGUGUAACAGAUGGGGGUAGGACACUGUAUCUGUUUUGAUCUGCUCGGCAUGGCACUGUACCUAUUCUGAUCUAUUAUGUAUCUAAAAAAGAGGUAUUUGGUUACCUGUUUGAUCUGUUCUGAUCUGUUCUCUAAUUUUGAUUCCGGCCCUGAAUAAGGAAACUUAUUGGUUACUCGUAAAUUGUUUGAACUUAUAUAAUCUUUCCUUUAGUGCUAGACAAACUCAUUUUGUUUGUUGCUUAAACUGCAGGUAGUCUACAAACUUCAUCGAGUUAGUGGUUCAGAAGCUCGACCAUCCUAAUUAUUAGCUUUUAUAAUUAUUAGUUUGUUUUAGAUUAAGUGAAAAUGAGGUCGCGCGGUAGUCGUGGAUGUGGUACUCAGAGACGUCGUGGGUGUCGAAGAGGAGCUCGAGCAAAGUCAUCCUCUAUGGGUAGUAUGCCAAAUUUAGAGACCAGCGAAACUGUUGGUAUUCUUACUACUAAGAUUGGGUCUCGAAACCCGAUAGUUGGGGAUGACACAUUGUCCUAAGUUAUGAUUCAAGCGUUAGAGAGGGUCACUGGGGUCUAGUCUAGAUCUCAAUGCCGAGGGUCGGUUACUGAGCGACUCCAGUCAAAUGGUACUGAGUUAUUUAAAGGUGUCAUUGGAGUCGCCCCUACCAUGUCAAGUAUUGGUUCGAGGCCACUAAACAUAUCAUGACUAAUAUUGAUUGCACUCCUACUCAGAAAUUAAUGGGUGGAGUGUCUUUACUAUGAGAUAAAGCCUACCAGUGGUGAUUGACAGUUGAGCAGGGUGCUCAGCCCGAACAGAUUAAUAGGACUACUUUAAGAAUACCUUCCAGAGUAAAUACGUGAGGGCGAGUUACGUGGAGGCUCACCAUCACUAGUUUAUGAAUUUUGUUUAGGGCAAGAGACCUGUAGCUGAGUAUGAAGCCGAACAGGUAUGCUCGAGCUAGCUCCUUAGCGGGAGCGAGUAUUUGCAGCCUUAGUUGACAAGGCUAAGAUAGCUGAAGAAGUUAAGCACACUUAGCGUGAGAGGUAAGACCGAAAGAGAUGUCAGAGUAAGAUUAAGAAGUAUUCGGGUCCCUCUAAUUCUAGACAGCACUUUAAGAAAUGAUUAAGGUUUGAUGGGCCUCCGAGGACCGAUGCACCAGCUGCAGUGACUGAGAUUUAGCUCUGUAGUGGCUGUGGGGGGUGCCAUCUGGGUGAGUGCUGGAGGAAAUCAGGAGCCUGUCUCCGUUGUGAGUCGGUGGAGCAUCGUGUUCGAAAUUGCCCUCGCCGAUCAGAUCAGGUGCUCAUUACAGCACAGACUCCAGCUUUGGGUCUCGAUCAGCCUCCGAGAGUAGUUCAACAACCACCUAAGGGUCGUAGAAUGGGUAGGGGUGGUAAUGGUUCUAGUAGGGGUCAGAAAGCAGCGGGUAGAGGUGUGGGUCAAACUGAGGCACGAUAGCCUGCACUAGUCUAUGCAACGAGACGCUGUGAGGACAACGACGAUGGCGAUGUUAUAGUGGGUACAUUUUUUAUUCAGUUUGUUUCAUAUUUUGCUCUGAUUGCUACUACUGUUUCUACAAAUAUGGGUAUAUUUGUUGAGAAUACUGCUAGGGAAUUUGCUGUGAUUAGUCAUCUGGGUCAGUCAGUCCAAGUUGAUAAAGCAUAUAGAUGGGUUCCAUUAGAAAUUUAGGGUGUGGUAUUUUUGGUUGAUUUAAUGGAGUUGCCUUUCGGUGAGUUUGACCUGAUUCUGGGGAUAGAUUGGCUCGUGGAACAUCGGGUCAGUCUAGAUUGUGCCUCUAAAAGAGUUACUCUAAGGACUAGCGAGAGUAGUGAGAUUAGUAUGAUUGGUGAGCGUUGAGAUUAUCUCUCCAACGUAAUCUCUUCCUUAGUAGUUGAAAAACUAGUUUGGAAAGGUUGUGAGGCUUACCUAGUAUUUAUCUCUGACUCUAUUCCUACAAAGCUAUUUGUAAAGAAAAUUCGUAUGGUGAGGGGCUUUCUAGAUGUUUUUCCUGCGGAAUUACCUGAGGUACCUCUGAACAGGGAGGUUGAGUUUCGCAUUGAAUUGUUACCGGGUACUGCUCUAGUGUUCAUUGCACCAUAUCACAUGGCACCUCAGGAGUUUUUUGAGCUAAAGGCUCGGCUUCAAGAACUUCUUAAUCGAGGGUUCACUAGACCAAGUGUGUCUCUGUGGGGAGCAUCGAUUUUGUUUGUCAUGAAGAAAGACGGUUCGAUGAGAAUAUGUAUAGGUUACCGUCAGCAGAACAAGUUGACAGUAUAGAAUAAGUAUCCAUUACCAAGGAUCGAUGAUUUAUUCAAUUAGUUCUGUGGGGAAUCGAUAUUCUCCAAAAUUGAUAUUUGAUCUGGGUACCAUCAGCUCAAGGUUAAGCAUACUGAUGUGUACAAGAUUGCUUUCAGGACUCGUUAUGGGCAUUACGAGUUCCAGGUUAUGCCAUUCGGUUUAACGAACGCUAUAGUCCCAUUUAUGGAUUUAAUAAAUCAGGAGUUUUAGCCAUAUUUGGACUAGUUUGUUGUAGUUUUAUUGAUGACAUUCUGAUUUAUUCCAAGACUAAGUCUGAGCAUGACGAACACCUUUGUAUUGUUCUACAAACACUCUGUGAAAAACAACUAUAUGUUAAGUUUAGUAAGUGUAUCUUUUAGUUGCAGAAAGUUUCUUUUUUGAGGCAUGCUAUGACUGCUGAAGGGAUUUGGGUCGAUCCUAAUAAAAUUGAGGCUGUGGCCGAGUGGAAACAGCCGAAGAAUGCGUCUGAACUUUGGAGCUUUCUUGGCUUGGCAGGAUAUUAUCGGAGAUUUGUCGAGGGGUUUUCUUUGAUUACGUCUCCUCUGAAUAAGUUAUUGUGUAAGAACACCCUAUUUGUGUGGUUUAAUAAACAGCAGUCGAGCUUCGAAAAGCUCAAGUCUAUUCUGACAUGAGCUCCUAUUUUGGUUCAGCCCAUAUCGGGUAGGGAGUUUAUGGUUUACAGUGAUGUGUCACGCAUUGGCCUAGAUGUGUCUUGAUGUAGGAUGGUAAAGUGGUAGCUUAUGCAUAUCGACAGUUGAAGUUUCACAAAGGUAACUAUCCUACGCAUGAUUUGCAGCUGGAUGUAGUCGUUUUUGCUCUAAAAAUCUGAAGACAAUACCUGUACAGUGAGCAUUGUAUCAUCUACACUGAUCAUAAGAGCCUUAAAUAUUUGUUAACUCAGAAAGAAUUUCACAUUAGGCAACAGAGAUAGGUUGAGCUACUUAAGGAUUAUGACUUCACGAUAAAGUAUCAUCUCGGCAAAGCCAAUGUGGUGGUCGAUGCUCUUAGUCAUAGAGCAAUGGCCGAUCUGAGAACGAUGUUCGCUUGUCUAAGUUUAUUCGAGGAUGGGAGCCUGUUAGCUAAGUUUUAGGUUAAACCAAAUUGGGUUGAUCAAAUUCGAGCUAAACGACUACGUAAUAAGUCUUUAGUUCAACAUUUGCAUCAGAUUCUGUAGGAGAAGCAUAGUAUCCCUUAUUCUAUGCAUCCUAGUGGGAAUAAGAUGUAUCGAGAUCUCUAAGCAUUUAUUGGUGGUCUGGUUUGAAAUGAGAGGUGACUACCUUUGUGCCCCAUUGUGGUCUACUCCAGCUAGUUAAAAUUCCCGUUGGAAGUGGUAGUGACAAACGACGAACUUCGUUUGUGGGUUGCCUUUGACACCCACUAAGAAAGAUUCUGUAUGGGUCAUCGUUGACCAAUUGACUAAGUUUGCUCAUUUCCUACCUGUUAGGACGAAUUAUUCACUUCGAAAGCUGCCUAAACUAUAUGUGUCUGAAAUUGUAAGACUGCAUGGAGUUUCAGUCUUAAUUAUCUCAAAUAAGGAUCUGCAUUUUAGUUAUCGGUUCUGGAAGAAACUUCACGAAGCAUUAGCACUCGAUUAGAUUUCAGUACCGCGUAUCACCCUCAGAUUGAUGGACAGUCUGAGCUUGUUAUUUAGAUUCUAGAGGAUAUGCUUCAGGGUUGUCUAAUCAAUUUUUGAGGUAGUUGGGAAGAUUAUCUACCACUAGUUGAGUUUGCUUACAACAACAUUUUUCAAUCUAGUAUUUAGAUGGCACCUAACGAAGCUCUAUAUUGUUGUAAGUGUCGUAUACCAUUGUGUUGGACUAAUUUAGGUGAACGUUGAGUUAUGGGUCCCGAGCUAGUUUCUAAGACUGAGAAUACAAUUAAAUUGAUUCGAAACCAUCUGAAAACUACUUCUGACUGACAGAAAUUGUAUGCAGAUUUAAAGAGAAACGAUAUCGAGUUUUCUAUAGAUGAUCAGGUAUUUCUAAAAGUAUCCUCAUGGAAAGAGGUUCUUUGGUUCGAACAUAAAGGCAACUUGAGCCCAAGGUUCAUUGGACCUUACCAUAUUUUAAAACAUGUUCAACAUGUUGCUUAUCAGUUAAAAUUACUUUUAAUGUUGGAUCAAAUUCAUGAUGUGCUCCACGUCUCGAUCUUGAGGUGGUAUCGGUCUAAUCUAUCGCACAUUGUCCCUAUCGAGGAAAUUGAGGUGCGAGUAGAUCUGAUGUUUGAGGAAGAGUCUGUUCAGAUUCUGGAUCAAGACGUCAAGGUCUUGAGAAAAAAACUAUCCCUGUAGUUAAAGUUUUGUGGUGGAAUCAUAGAACUAAGGAAGCCACUUGGGAACCCGAGGAUUUUGUUCGUCAGCAAUAUCUCUAUCUGUUUGAAUCAGGUAAAUUUUUUAGGCCGAAAUUUCUUAAAACGGGUGAGAGUUGUAACGCCCCAAAAAUUUUAAUAUUGUCUGUUGAAUUUUAUCGUAGUGAAGUCUUUAUCUAUGUGGUUCUAUGCUCACUUUACGUGUUCGAGGUCAGGGGUUUGAGUUGUGUCAUUCGAAAGUUAUGUCAUUUUAUCCUAAAUUAACAUCUAUCCUUGAACUAUCGACUUAAGUUUGAUUCUGUGCGAUUACGUAUCAAGACCGAGCCUACUGGUUUGAUGGUUAAACUUCUGCGUAUCUUUCGGUUCCAUGUUCGUGUCUCUGUAUGCACAAUAGGAAAUAUUUUUAUUCUUUUAGUGAAGUUUUAGUUCCCUUUUUAAAUUAAUAGUUUUGUGGACGUCCCUCUUCCACUUUCCUUUCGGUUCUCUUUUUUUUUCUUUCGUUUUUUUUAUUUUAUCUUAUUUCUUUUUCCUUUCCUUUUGAUUAUACUUGUGAAGUGGCUAGCGAGACUAGUUGAGGGUCAUACGUUGUUCGCUGUAUAAUUUGGAAGGUUACUGAGUAAGUUCUGUCAAAAAUUCCAUUUUGCUUCUGUGAAUUCUUGUUGUUCUUCUUGUUUUGUCAAAAAAAUAUUUCUUCUUAAAUUACUCGAACACUUUAGUAAGUAUACGUUGGCUUCGUGUUUAGGUAAGGAUUUUAUGAGAACUGUUUCUCUAACGCGCUAGUUUCGUUGUUUUCGCUUCUACAAGCAAUGUGAGUGUAGGAAUUCUAUGGAGGAUUAUAUGGAAGGUUUCGACAUGAAAGUUAGUUUUGUGCAUUAUAGUUUGCGUGCAGUUGGAAUAAUUGUUAAAAUGGUUAUUGAAUGGUCGUUUUAGGUUUCGGGGUUAUUCUCCAUUGUUCCUACAUCAAAUCGAUACCAAGUGCGUACUGAAAACCCAACUUUCUAUUAAUUUUAGACGCCAAAAAAAUGGCUAUCGAUGCCACACAGUCGUCUGGUAGGUCAUGCGGCAAUCCAUGUAACUCACUGUUCACAAAUUAGAGGCACAUGGGCUAAUGACAUGAGCGUGUGUCCAAACCGUGUAUGGGAAUAUUUCGUGCAAGGUUCACACAGGCCAAGGACAUGGGCCUGUGUCCAGACCGUGUAACUCACUGUUUGUGCAUUAGGGCCACACGGGCAAGUGACAUGGGUAUGUAUCAGGCCGUGUAAGGCACAUAGGCAAACACACAGGUGUGUGCCUGGCCGUGUGGGACCAUACGAGCCUGCUAUCCAGGCCGUGUGUAACCACACAACUGUGUGGACCAAUAUUUGGACUUUUCUUUCCGGCCAUAAGUGUCGUUUGAAACGAACACAUACCUUUUAUAAAGUCCAUAUGAACUGAAUUAAACUAUUAUUCUGUGAUCUGAGACUGAGUACUGAAAAUCUGUAUGUGUAUUGCGAUUGAAAAUCGUUAAUCAUAUUGAUUUAUUCUGUAUGAGUAUGAACUAUAUCUGAAUGGUCGUAUAGGCCUCUAUAUUAACUGUCAUUUGAAAUCUGCAUCUGCAUUGGGUGGGAAUUGAUUAAUGGUGGAAGUAUUUUGUUCUGAGCUAGUGUUUAAACCACUAAUAUCUAUAAUCUGAUCUGGCAGCUGGUUACGAUAAUUGAAAUGUGUAAUAUCAACACUAUGUGGUGUGUAGGGCUGGAUGGGUAUUAAAUAUCUUGUUUUGUGUGUUGGGUUGGUAAGAGAUGGUGUGUAGUGGAUGGGGGUACGACAUUGUAUCUGUUCCAAUCUGUUCUGCAUGACACUGUAUAUGUUCUAAUCUGCUUUGCAUGACACUAUAUCUAUUCUGAUAUGUUAUGUAUCUAAAGAAAAGGAAAAUGGUUACCUGUUUGAUUUGUUUUGAUAUGUUAAGUUAAUGGAUUGUCCUCUGAAUCUGAUUCUAAACCUGUAUGAGGAAACUUACUUGUUACUCGUAAAUUGUUCGGACUUAUAUAAUCUUUCCUUUAGUGCUAUACUAACUCGUUUUGUCUGUUGCUUAAAUUGCAGGUAGUCCACAGACUUGAUCAGGUUGGUGGUUCGAAAGCUCGGUCAUCCUAAUUAUCAGCAAUUAUAAUUAUUAGUUUGUUUUUGAUAUUUUCAAAACAUUCGACUUCCUAAAAUGAUAACUCUCGAAUUAAGUGUUAUGCUUGUUAAUUUUAUUUUGGUUAGAAAGACUUUGAA